rnacentral:rRNA from 1 species
UCGAGAAUCUUCGGCAAUGGGCGCAAGCCUGACCGAGCGACGCCGCGUGCGGGACGAAGGCCCUUGGGUUGUAAACCGCUGUCAGAGGGGAUGAAAUGCCGAUGGGUUGUCCCAUCGGCUUGACAGAGCCUCAGAGGAAGCACGGGCUAAGUACGUGCCAGCAGCCGCGGUAAUACGUUUUGUGCAAACGUUAUUCGGAAUCACUGGGCUUAAAGGGUGCGUAGGCGGCCAGCUAAGUAGGGUGUGAAAUCCCCCGGCUCAACCGGGGAACUGCGCUCUAAACUGGUUGGCUUGAGUGAGAUAGGGGUGUGUGGAACUUCCAGUGGAGCGGUGAAAUGUGUUGAUAUUGGAAGGAACGCCGGUAGCGAAAGCGGCACACUGGGUCUCAACUGACGCUGAGGCACGAAAGCCAGGGUAGCGAACGGGAUUAGAUACCCCGGUAGUCC